rnacentral:rRNA from 1 species
AGCGAACGCUGGCGGCAGGCUUAACACAUGCAAGUCGAGCGCCCCGCAAGGGGAGCGGCAGACGGGUGAGUAACACGUGGGAACGUGCCUUUUGGUUCGGAACAACUGAGGGAAACUUCAGCUAAUACCGGAUAAGCCCUUACGGGGAAAGAUUUAUCGCCAAAAGAUCGGCCCGCGCCUGAUUAGCUAGUUGGUGGGGU